rnacentral:lncRNA from 1 species
CAGGUCUUCAGCACCAGCUCUGGCGGUGCCUCCCACAUCCAUGGGCUGUGGCAGCACCAGCAUCCCCAACAGCCGUCCGACUCCCCGCCGGGUCUGGAAGGGGAGCAACGGCUCGAUAGGGAGCCCUUGGCCCCAUAUUGCAGCUCCCGGGACAAGUGAUCCUCGUGUCACUCCUUGCUCUUGCCCCAUCAAGAUGGAUCCAGGUAAGCACCGUGGCUGGGGGGCUGGGGGGUGAAAGAAGGAAGAGAGAGGGAGGAAAGAGGUGAAGUCAGGAUGAUCAGUAAGCCGUAUCUACUGCACACCAAAAACAUGGUUGUGUGUGUUUGUGUAAAGGUAGUGGCAGGGUCCGCAAUGACAACAAGCCCUUACAACAUGUUACAGUUGGGGAAAUGUACUUCUCCAUCCUUCAUUUCACUCAAUAUUCAACCUGAGGAGUAACACAUUAAAGUGCAGGUCCCACUGUACACACGGGGCCCUGGAGAGCUAGAGGUACAUUCAGGGUAAGGCCAUGGAGAUGGGGCUGGGAUGGAGCCCAGAACCCACCUCUCAGCAGCUGUGCCGUUGGCUCCCCUCAAAAGGAACAAAAGACCAUUCUGGUCUUUAAGAAAUAGCAGGCCGGAAGCCAUGGCUCAGGCCUAUAAUCCUAGGACUCCUGGGGGCUGAGGCUGGUGGAUUGCUCAAGGUCAGGAGUUCCAAACAAGCCUGAGCAAAAGCAAGAACCCAUCUCUACUAAAAAUAGAAAGAAAUUAAUUGGCCAACUAAAAAACAUAUAGAAAAAAUUAGCCGGGCAUUGUGGCACAUGCCUGUAGUCCCAGCUACUCGGGAGGCUGAGGCAGUAGGAACUCUUAAGCCCAGGAGAUUGAAGUUGCUGGAGCUAGGCUGACGACACAGCAAUCUAGCCUGGGCAACAGAGUGAGACUCUGUCUCAGAAAAAAAAAAAAAAAAACCAGCAGGCAAUUCCCACCAAGGGAGCAUUUACAAACACCCAGGACCACUCAGCUAGGCUGCUGCAGAGUGAGCCCACUGCACCCACAGCUGGGCAGGCUGAUGGCCCAGUCCACGUGGAUUUCCUGUAGGAAGGCACCACAGAGUUGAGCCUGAGAGAUUUCCCUGUGGCAAGAGGCAUCUGCAAAGGCCAGGCUCUGAGACCAGAAGGUCACAAGCAGGAGCCAAGAAACAGCUGAGAGACUGAGCAGAGACAAGGCCUGAGAUAAGGAAGACCUGAGGAAGGUGGGGCAGAUGGGGAGGUUGGGGUGGCAGUGGCCUGGAAGUGGAAGAGAACAAUCAGGGUUUGCCCCUGCAAAGGGCCAGACUCAGUAUCAUGGAUUUGGCUGAAGUUGGAAGAACACAGAACUGACAGAGUGGGGACAAGAACCCACAUGUCCUAACUGGCCCCACUGCACCCAGGGAAACCCAGCCAUCUCUCAGAGGAACACAGAGAUGAACCUUGACUUUCAGUACAUGCCUGUUGUUGAGUGAAUGAAUGUAGGAAUAGUUGUUGGCACAGGGAUUGGGGCACAAGAUCAGCGCUAGGGAGAAGACAAGGUUUUCACUGCAGAACAAAAUGACCAAUGCUGAUUCUUUUUUCCCCUUCCUCUCCCACAGGUCCGAAGGUAGGAAUCUUCCCCAACCCUCUCCCCUUUUUCCAUCCCAUUGUCAUUUCCUCCAGACAUCCAGCAUCCUUCCCACACCCUCGGGGAGCAGCC